ensembl:lncRNA
CACAAAACAUCUCAGUGAUGCUAACUUGAAGAAGAAGCAGAAGAGUCCCUACUCCAGAAAGGUAUAAGAAGACUUUGACAAUGAGAGAUGGGGCAAAUUGGAAUAUUUUAUUAUGAUGGAUCCUAGAGAACAAAUGGCCUCUUGCAGCUCAGGAAGCCACGUGUACACUUCACUAAUCUAAGAGGUCUGCUCAGAAGUUGAAUAGAAGAUAUUUUUUAAAGGGUAGGCGAGGAGGAGUAGAGGAGCUUACAAAAUAGAAGAAAAAAAUGUGCACUUGUAUACAGGAAGGAAGCUACAUGUCCUGGAUUUAGUACUCUAAGUAGAUGGUUAGCCCCCAAAGGGGAGGUAAGUAAAGAGCUAUGACUAUAUAGCAUAGUCAGAAUCAAGGAAAACCAUUCUUUUUUGUAUCUGAACUGGAUUAAAUGCAUUAACAAGUAUAUUUUAUCUUCAAAAAGUAAAACAUGUUACUUGAUAGUGAAAAAUGUAUAAGCAG